UCCGUUUGGAGGUAUAAAUGGUCUGACCUGCUCACUGAUAAAAUUAUUUAAGAGCCGCGGUAUAUUGACCGUGCAAAGGUAGCAUAAUCAUUAGGGGUUUAAUUGGAACCUGGAAUGAAGGGUUGGACAAAGGAGAAACUGUCUCUAUAGUAUCAAUUGAAGUUUACCUUUAAGUGAAAAGGCUUAAAUACAUCAAAGGGACGAUAAGACCCUAUAAAGCUUUAUAAAUAAUUUAAAUUUAAUUAAAUUAAGAAAAAUAAAGGUUAAAUUUAGCUGUUUUAUUUUGUUGGGGUGAUGUGAGUAUAAUUGUUAUUAACUGCUUAAGGAAAAUUCUAUUUUAAAAGAAUUAUUAAUAUAUGAUCCUUUUUAAAGAUUAAAAGACUAAGUUACUUUAGGGAUAACAGCGUUAUUUCUUUUGAGAGUUCAUAUCGAAAAAGAAGAUUGCGACCUCGAUGUUGAAUUAAAAUGUCUAUAUAAUGCAGCCGUUAUAAAAGAGGGUCUGUUCGACCUUUAAAUUUUU
rnacentral:rRNA from 1 species